rnacentral:rRNA from 1 species
GGACUACUGGGGUUUCUAAUCCCGUUUGCUCCCCUGGCUUUCGCGCCUCAGCGUCAGAAGAGGCCCAGCGCGCCGCUUUCGCCACCGGCGUUCCUUCCGAUAUCUACGCAUUUCACCGCUCCACCGGAAGUUCCGCACGCCCCUGCCUCCCUCGAGGCCAGCAGUAUCCCAGGCACUUCCCCCGUUGAGCGGGGGGCUUUCACCCCAGACUUGCUGGCCCGCCUACGCGCCCUUUAAGCCCAGUGAUUCCGAACAACGUUCGCACGGUUCGUCUUACCGCGGCUGCUGGCAC